rnacentral:rRNA from 1 species
GGGUUGUGAGGUUAAGCGACUAAGCGUACACGGUGGAUGCCCUGGCAGUCAGAGGCGAUGAAGGACGUGCUAAUCUGCGAUAAGCGUCGGUAAGGUGAUAUGAACCGUUAUAACCGGCGAUUUCCGAAUGGGGAAACCCAGUGUGAUUCGUCACACUAUCAUUAACUGAAUCCAUAGGUUAAUGAGGCGAACCGGGGGAACUGAAACAUCUAAGUACCCCGAGGAAAAGAAAUCAACCGAGAUUCCCCCAGUAGCGGCGAGCGAACGGGGAGCAGCCCAGAGCCUGAAUCAGUGUGUGUGUUAGUGGAAGCGUCUGGAAAGGCGCGCGAUACAGGGUGACAGCCCCGUACACAAAAAUGCACAUGCUGUGAGCUCGAUGAGUAGGGCGGGACACGUGGUAUCCUGUCUGAAUAUGGGGGGACCAUCCUCCAAGGCUAAAUACUCCUGACUGACCGAUAGUGAACCAGUACCGUGAGGGAAAGGCGAAAAGAACCCCGGCGAGGGGAGUGAAAAAGAACCUGAAACCGUGUACGUACAAGCAGUGGGAGCACGCUUAGGCGUGUGACUGCGUACCUUUUGUAUAAUGGGUCAGCGACUUAUAUUCUGUAGCAAGGUUAACCGAAUAGGGGAGCCGAAGGGAAACCGAGUCUUAACUGGGCGUUAAGUUGCAGGGUAUAGACCCGAAACCCGGUGAUCUAGCCAUGGGCAGGUUGAAGGUUGGGUAACACUAACUGGAGGACCGAACCGACUAAUGUUGAAAAAUUAGCGGAUGACUUGUGGCUGGGGGUGAAAGGCCAAUCAAACCGGGAGAUAGCUGGUUCUCCCCGAAAGCUAUUUAGGUAGCGCCUCGUGAAUUCAUCUCCGGGGGUAGAGCACUGUUUCGGCAAGGGGGUCAUCCCGACUUACCAACCCGAUGCAAACUGCGAAUACCGGAGAAUGUUAUCACGGGAGACACACGGCGGGUGCUAACGUCCGUCGUGAAGAGGGAAACAACCCAGACCGCCAGCUAAGGUCCCAAAGUCAUGGUUAAGUGGGAAACGAUGUGGGAAGGCCCAGACAGCCAGGAUGUUGGCUUAGAAGCAGCCAUCAUUUAAAGAAAGCGUAAUAGCUCACUGGUCGAGUCGGCCUGCGCGGAAGAUGUAACGGGGCUAAACCAUGCACCGAAGCUGCGGCAGCGACGCUGAUGCGUUGUUGGGUAGGGGAGCGUUCUGUAAGCCUGCGAAGGUGUGCUGUGAGGCAUGCUGGAGGUAUCAGAAGUGCGAAUGCUGACAUAAGUAACGAUAAAGCGGGUGAAAAGCCCGCUCGCCGGAAGACCAAGGGUUCCUGUCCAACGUUAAUCGGGGCAGGGUGAGUCGACCCCUAAGGCGAGGCCGAAAGGCGUAGUCGAUGGGAAACAGGUUAAUAUUCCUGUACUUGGUGUUACUGCGAAGGGGGGACGGAGAAGGCUAUGUUGGCCGGGCGACGGUUGUCCCGGUUUAAGCGUGUAGGCUGGUUUUCCAGGCAAAUCCGGAAAAUCAAGGCUGAGGCGUGAUGACGAGGCACUACGGUGCUGAAGCAACAAAUGCCCUGCUUCCAGGAAAAGCCUCUAAGCAUCAGGUAACAUCAAAUCGUACCCCAAACCGACACAGGUGGUCAGGUAGAGAAUACCAAGGCGCUUGAGAGAACUCGGGUGAAGGAACUAGGCAAAAUGGUGCCGUAACUUCGGGAGAAGGCACGCUGAUAUGUAGGUGAAGUCCCUCGCGGAUGGAGCUGAAAUCAGUCGAAGAUACCAGCUGGCUGCAACUGUUUAUUAAAAACACAGCACUGUGCAAACACGAAAGUGGACGUAUACGGUGUGACGCCUGCCCGGUGCCGGAAGGUUAAUUGAUGGGGUCAGCGCAAGCGAAGCUCUUGAUCGAAGCCCCGGUAAACGGCGGCCGUAACUAUAACGGUCCUAAGGUAGCGAAAUUCCUUGUCGGGUAAGUUCCGACCUGCACGAAUGGCGUAAUGAUGGCCAGGCUGUCUCCACCCGAGACUCAGUGAAAUUGAACUCGCUGUGAAGAUGCAGUGUACCCGCGGCAAGACGGAAAGACCCCGUGAACCUUUACUAUAGCUUGACACUGAACAUUGAGCCUUGAUGUGUAGGAUAGGUGGGAGGCUUUGAAGUGUGGACGCCAGUCUGCAUGGAGCCG